rnacentral:lncRNA from 1 species
GUCGCCUCCAGUCGCGCGGCACGCCGGCGAGUCCCUCCCACGCGUGCCGAAGGAAGUACCGGUAGGCCGCAUAGGUGGCCUCGUUGGCAAAGCAAUAGGCGCGGCCCCCUUGGUGGCCGUCUCGGUCUCUGCUGGCGUCGCCCCUGUCCUUGUCUUCUUUUUCCUUUUGUUCUUCUUCUUCUUUUCCCUUUUUUUCUCGUGUCUCGUUGGGUGCGUUGUGGUCGUCGGCGGCGUCUUGGACUUUGCGCCCUCCCUCGGUGCCGGGCGGGCUUGCGCCGUCGCCAUAACUGUCCUCGUCGAUGCACACCACAUAGAGCGGUGACGGGUCGUCGGCCUUUUUCUGCGCCACGCUCGCCUCGACAAAGCAGGCCGUCAGUGUGGCAAAGUCGGGCGACGCGCCCGCGGCGGCGCGCGGUCUGACGCUCGCCAAGAGGGACCGCGACCACGACACGCACAGAUCGCACAUGACGAGCGUGCACAGGAUCUCGGGCGUCGAGCGCGCCAGUUCGAGGGCGGCCGUGCGGGCCGCCUCCAGCGCCGGGCCUCGCAGAUCGGUCGUCGCCACGAGGCGGUCGCGUAUGCCGUUG